UACAGAGGGUGCGAGCGUUAAUAGGAAUUACUGGGCGUAAAGCGUGCGUAGACUGUAGCGUAAGUCAGAUGUGAAAGCCCCGGGCUCAACCUGGGAAUUGCAUUUGAGACUGCAAAGCUUGGGUGCGGAAGAGGGAAGCGGAAUUUCCGGUGUAGCGGUGAAAUGCGUAGAUAUCGGAAGGAACAUCAGUGGCGAAAGCGGCUUCCUGGUCCAGCACCGACGUUCAGGCACGAAAGCGUGGGGAGCAAACAGG
rnacentral:rRNA from 1 species